UACGAAGGGGGGCUAGCGUUGCUCGGAAUCACUGGGCGUAAAGGGUGCGUAGGCGGGUUUCUAAGUCAGAGGUGAAAGCCUGGAGCUCAACUCCAGAACUGCCUUUGAUACUGGAAGUCUUGAGUAUGGCAGAGGUGAGUGGAACUGCGAGUGUAGAGGUGAAAUUCGUAGAUAUUCGCAAGAACACCAGUGGCGAAGGCGGCUCACUGGGCCAUUACUGACGCUGAGGCACGAAAGCGUGGGGAGCAAACAGG
rnacentral:rRNA from 1 species